UACAGAGGUGGCAAGCGUUGUUCGGAAUUACUGGGCGAAAGGGCGCGUAGGCGGCCCAUCUAAGUCAGACGUGAAAUCCCCCGGCUUAACCUGGGAACUGCGUCUGAUACUGGACGGCUUGAGUAUGGGAGAGGGAUGUAGAAUUCCAGGUGUAGCGGUGAAAUGCGUAGAGAUGUGGAGGAACACCGAUGGCGAAGGCAGCCCCCUGGGUCAAGAUUGACGCUCAUGCACGAAAGCGUGGGGAGCAAACAAGG
rnacentral:rRNA from 1 species